rnacentral:rRNA from 1 species
GUAGGUGGCAAGCGUUGUCCGGAAUUAUUGGGCGUAAAGCGCGCGCAGGUGGUUCCUUAAGUCUGAUGUGAAAGCCCACGGCUCAACCGUGGAGGGUCAUUGGAAACUGGGGAACUUGAGUGCAGAAGAGGAAAGUGGAAUUCCAAGUGUAGCGGUGAAAUGCGUAGAGAUUUGGAGGAACACCAGUGGCGAAGGCGACUUUCUGGUCUGUAACUGACACUGAGGCGCGAAAGCGUGGGGAGCAAACAGGGAUUAGAUACCCUGGUAGUCCACGCCGUAAACGAUGAGUGCUAAGUGUUAGAGGGUUUCCGCCCUUUAGUGCUGCAGCUAACGCAUUAAGCACUCCGCCUGGGGAUACGGCCGCAAGGCUG